rnacentral:rRNA from 1 species
GACGGCGGACGCACCAACGGCCCGUCCCAGUCGCUGCGUCGACGGGGCGGAGUGAGAGCGUGCACGUUGGGACCCGAAAGAUGGUGAACUAUGCCUGGGCAGGACGAAGCCAGAGGAAACUCUGGUGGAGGUCCGCAGCGAUUCUGACGUGCAAAUCGAUCGUCAGACCUGGGUAUAGGGGCGAAAGACUAAUCGAACCAUCUAGUAGCUGGUUCCCUCCGAAGUUUCCCUCAGGAUAGCUGGCGCUCGGAGGAAGCAUUCUCAUCCGGUAAAGCGAAUGAUUAGAGGCCUUGGGGCCGAAACGACCUCAACCUAUUNNNNNNNNUUAAAUGGGUGAGAAGUCCGGCUUGCUCGACUGAAGCCCGGACGUGAGGAUGCGAGUGCCCAGUGGGCCACUUUUGGUAAGCAGAACUGGCGCUGUGGGAUGAACCAAACGCCGGGUUAAGGCGCCCGAUGCGAGACGCUCAUGAGACCCCAUGAAAGGUGUUGGUUGCUACAGACAGCAGGACGGUGGCCAUGGAAGUCGGAAUCCGCUAAGGAGUGUGUAACAACUCACCUGCCGAAGCAACUAGCCCUGAAAAUGGAUGGCGCUUCAGCGUCGAGCCCAUACCCGGCCGUCGCGGCUGUAGGUACUUGUGCUUUAUGUCGCGACGAGUAGGAGGGCGCAGGGGUGUGCGUUGAAGGUGCCGGGCGCGAGCCCGUCUGGAGCCGCCCCUGGUGCAGAUCUUGGUGGUAGUAGCAAAUACUCAAGUGAGAACCUUGAGGACUGAGGUGGAGAAGGGUUCCAUGUGAACAGCAGUUGAACAUGGGUCAGUCGGUCCUAAGGGAUAGGAGAAAUCCGUUCCGAAGCGGGACCUUUAUUAUUGCUCGUUGGUCCCGCCGCAGACCGAAAGGGAAUCGGGUUAAUAUUCCCGAACCCGGACAUGGAGAUCGACCCCUCACGGGGUCCAGUGCGGUAACGCAAACGAACUCGGAGACGUCGACGGGAGUCCCGGGAAGAGUUGUCUUUUCUUUGUAAGGGCUCGGCUCCCUGGAAUCGGCUCGCCCGGAGAUAGGGAUGCUGUACCCGUAAAGCACCGCGCCUCUUGCGGUGUCCGGAGCGCUCCCGUCGGCCCUUGAAAAUCCGAGCGAGAGGUUGUGAUUUUCGUGCCGGACCGUACCCAUAUCCGCAGCAG